ACCCGCUGAAUUUAAGCAUAUAAGUGAGUGGAGGACGAUAAACUAAACAUGCAUUCCUAAGUAAUGGCGAAUGAACAGGAAGUUGCACAUCGUGGAAUACAGCGCUUCUUGCUCUGGCUUGCAUUCGCAAGAUGUACUAGCAACAGAGGUGCAGGUGUGAGCCUUUUGGAAUGGAGCAAUGACAAGGGUGAGAAUCCCAUCUUGGCGUCUGCAACCUUCCCGGUGCAUGGUAUACAUUCUCAGAGUCACGCUCUUUGGGCCUUGAGCGCGAAGCGGGUGGUAGGAUUCACACAAAGCUUUACAUCGGCCUGAAACCGAUAGCAAACAAGUACCAUGAGGGGAAGGUGAACAAGGACUUUGGAAAGAAAGUUAAAUGUGCUUGAACUUGUUGAAAGGAAAGUGGUUGCAAUCUAUGUGACUUGGUGAGAUUGUUGUGCAUGGGAGAUGUUAUUGUCAGCUUGUCCAAAUGUCGUGAUGGGCUCACCAACCGGCUGUGCACAAUGUUCCUCUCCUGACCAUUGCCAGCCACAACUGGCCCACGUGUGGUGAAACAAACAGGGGGUGGUAGUUUACCCCAGGGUAGAUGGGUGUGCCCUGUCGUACCCGCACAGAGCUAUCAGCGGCAACAUGGUUACCACCAGCCCGUCUUGAAACACGGACCAAGGAGUCUAAUGCACAUGCAAGUUUCUGGGCACAUGCACGCCUGGUUGCGCAAUGAAAGUAUAUGCUUGGAUAUCUGCACAAGCAACUGACCAAUCAAUUGAGUGCGGUUUGAGUGCGAGCAUGCCUGUUAGGCCCCGAAAGAUGGCGAACUAUGCCUGUGCAGGGCAAACCCAGAGGAAACUCUGAUGGAGGCCCGCAGCGAUACUGACGUGCAAAUCGUUCGCCGCACAUGGGUAUAGGGGCGAAAGACUAAUCGAGCUCGCUGCCUUUGACCUACUUCCAAACUUUAAAUGGGUAAGCAUCAGUGGCUACUUGGGUGAGCUUCUGGAACACAUGGAAACUUUAAGUGGACCAUUUUUGGUAAGCAGAACUGGUGAUGAGGGAUGAACCUAAUGUUGGGUUAAGGCGCUUCAUUGCUCGCUCAUCAGAUACCAUAAAGGGUGUUGGUUCAUUUAGACAGCAGGACAGUGGUCAUGGAAGUCGAAAUCUGCUAAGGAGUGUGUAACAACUCACCUGUCGAAUGGACUAGCCCCGAAAAUGGAUGGCGCUCAAGCGGGUUGCUGAUUCCCAACCAUUGGUACAACUGUGUUGCGCCGAUGUGUAGGAGGGCAUGUGGGGUGUGUGUUGUGAAGCCUCUGAUGGAAGGCUGGGUGGAAUCGUCUCGGGUGCAGAUCUUGGUGGUAGUAGC
rnacentral:rRNA from 1 species